GACAUAAUGCAACUAGCACAAUCUAAUAAUCACCACCACCACCACCACUAAACCCAGCUUUCUUGUGGAUGUCCCGGUUCCUGUAUCAGAGAAGGCUGUUAGGCAAAUCCGGCAGCGUAAUUCAAGGGUAUGGGACGAGCGAACUUGUUCGCGAAGCAAUUGGAAGUGGUUCCAAGAAAAGCCUCUAAGCUUCAGUCUAACGAGACCGUACCGCAAACCGACACAGGUGGGCGAGAUGAGUAUUCUAAGGCGCUUGAGAGAACUCGGGAGAAGGAACUCGGCAAAUUUGUACCGUAACUUCGGGAUAAGGUACGCCCUAGUAGUUUGACUGGCCUGCGCCAGAAGGACAAACGGGUUGCAAUAAAAAGGUGGCUGCGACUGUUUAAUAAAAACACAGCACUCUGCUAACACGAAAGUGGACGUAUAGGGUGUGACGCCUGCCCGGUGCUGGAAGAUUAAAUGAUGGGGUGCAAGCUCUUGAUUGAGGUCCCAGUAAACGGCGGCCGUAACAAUAACGGUCCUAAGGUAGCGAAAUUCCUUGUCGGGUAAGUUCCGACCUGCACGAAUGGCGUAACGAUGGCCACACUGUCUCCUCCCGAGACUCAGCGAAGUUGAAAUGUUUGUGAUGAUGCAAUCUACCCGCGGCUAGACGGAAAGACCCCAUGAACCUUUACUGUAGCUUUGCAUUGGACUUUGAACCAAUCUGUGUAGGAUAGGUGGGAGGCUUUGAAGUAGGGACGCUAGUCUCUAUGGAGCCAUCCUUGAAAUACCACCCUGGUUUGUUUGAGGUUCUAACCUUGGUCCGUUAUCCGGAUCGGGGACAGUGCAUGGUAGGCAGUUUGACUGGGGCGGUCUCCUCCCAAAGUGUAACGGAGGAGUUCGAAGGUACGCUAGAUACGGUCGGACAUCGUGUUGAUAGUGCAAUGGCAUAAGCGUGCUUAACUGCGAGACUGACAAGUCGAGCAGGUACGAAAGUAGGACAUAGUGAUCCGGUGGUUCUGUAUGGAAGGGCCAUCGCUCAACGGAUAAAAGGUACUCUGGGGAUAACGGGCUGAUUCCUCCCAAGAGUUCAUAUCGACGGGGGAGUUUGGCACCUCGAUGUCGGCUCAUCACAUCCUGGGGCUGUAGCCGGUCCCAAGGGUAUGGCUGUUCGCCAUUUAAAGUGGUACGUGAGCUGGGUUUAAAACGUCGUGAGACAGUUUGGUCCCUAUCUGCCGUGGGCGUUGGAAGUUUGAAGGGGGCUGCUCCUAGUACGAGAGGACCGGAGUGGACGAACCUCUGGUGUAUCGGUUGUCACGCCAGUGGCAUUGCCGAGUAGCUAAGUUCGGAAGAGAUAACCGCUGAAAGCAUCUAAGCGGGAAACUCGCCUUGAGAUGAGACUUCCCGGGAGUUUAACUCCCCUAAAGGGUCGUUCGAGACCAGGACGUUGAUAGGUCAGGUGUGGAAGCGCAGUAAUGCGUUAAGCUAACUGAUACUAAUUGCCCGUGUGGCUUGUCC
rnacentral:rRNA from 1 species